rnacentral:lncRNA from 1 species
AAAAUGCUCUCUUUUUAAUUACUAAAUUAAGAAAGUUAAACAAUUUAAAAAUGUAAACUCACAAAGAAAUAACAAAAAAGGAAUUAAGACUUCAGAGUUGCUACUCAGUAUUAAAAACUCAAAUAGAAAUAGGGUUUUUGAUUUGUUGUUGUUAAACAUUUGUAAUUCAAGGUUGGUACAAACAGCAACUAAAAAUGUAAUAAAUGUACAACCCCUCCCUCACCUUCCCGUAAGGUUUAGUUGUAUGAGAAAAUUUAGCAUGUUGCCAUGACUACAAUGCUAUGGAUUUUAG